GGACUUAGGGCUUGGGCUAUGAUCGGUGUGGGAAAAUCUCUCAAACAUGACACGAUAAGAAUGUGCCUCAAGAAGGAGGCCCAAGUUCGUGGUCUUUGGUUUGAAGGGGAGAUUGUUGGGUACAAUCGAUCUUGGCAUGAUCUUAGAUUGCCGCAAGCAUGUGCUUUGCUUGCUUGGCCAUAUGGCUGGCUCUGGAUGCAAUCUCUACAACUAGUAUGAGGCCUUUUGGGAAGAAACCCAAUAACAAAUCCUUGCGGGCUUGAGGAUAUAAGCCCAAAGAGGACAAUAUCAUACUAAAUGGGAGUUGGAAUGGGCUUAGAAAGCCCAUUAAAUGGUAUCAGAGCCUAGAUUGAAAAAGUGGACCUUGGGCUUGGACUAUGAUCGG